rnacentral:rRNA from 1 species
AGCGAACGCUGGCGGCGUGCCUAACACAUGCAAGUCGAACGGUUCUGUUGGGGGCUUGCUCUCGACAGAGUAGUGGCAAACGGGUGAGUAACACGUGGGUAAUCUUCCUUCGAGUGAGGAAUAACUUCGGGAAACCGGAGCUAAUACCGCAUAACAUCUUGGGACGGCAGUUCCAAGAUCAAAGGGGGCGCAAGCUCCCGCUUGAAGUUGAGCUCGCGUCCUAUCAGCUAGUUGGUGAGGUAAUGGCUCACCAAGGCUCCGACGGGUAGCCGGCCUGAGAGGGUGCCGGCCACGACUGGGACUGAGACACGGCCCAGACUCCUACGGGAGGCAGCAGUGGGGAAUAUUGCGCAAUGGACGAAAGUCUGACGCAGCGACGCCGCGUGGGUGAUGAAGGCCUUCGGGUCGUAAAGCCCUGUUGAGGGAGAGAAAGCUACUGUCGGUUAAUACCGGCAGUGGUGAUAGUAUCCCUAGAGAAGCACCGGCUAACUACGUGCC